rnacentral:rRNA from 1 species
GAUGAACGCUGGCGGCGUGCCUAAUACAUGCAAGUCGAGCGAACAGAUAAGGAGCUUGCUCCUUUGACGUUAGCGGCGGACGGGUGAGUAACACGUGGGUAACCUACCUAUAAGACUGGGAUAACUUCGGGAAACCGGAGCUAAUACCGGAUAAUAUUUCGAACCGCAUGGUUCGAUAGUGAAAGAUGGUUUUGCUAUCACUUAUAGAUGGACCCGCGCCGUAUUAGCUAGUUGGUAAGGUAACGGCUUACCAAGGCGACGAUACGUAGCCGACCUGAGAGGGUGAUCGGCCACACUGGAACUGAGACACGGUCCAGACUCCUACGGGAGGCAGCAGUAGGGAAUCUUCCGCAAUGGGCGAAAGCCUGACGGAGCAACGCCGCGUGAGUGAUGAAGGUCUUCGGAUCGUAAAGCUCUGUUAUUAGGGAAGAACAUACGUGUAAGUAACUGUGCACGUCUUGACGGUACCUAAUCAGAAAGCCACGGCUAACUACGUGCCAGCAGCCGCGGUAAUACGUAGGUGGCAAGCGUUAUCCGGAAUUAUUGGGCGUAAAGCGCGCGUAGGCGGUUUUUUAAGUCUGAUGUGAAAGCCCACGGCUCAACCGUGGAGGGUCAUUGGAAACUGGAAAACUUGAGUGCAGAAGAGGAAAGUGGAAUUCCAUGUGUAGCGGUGAAAUGCGCAGAGAUAUGGAGGAACACCAGUGGCGAAGGCGACUUUCUGGUCUGUAACUGACGCUGAUGUGCGAAAGCGUGGGGAUCAAACAGGAUUAGAUACCCUGGUAGUCCACGCCGUAAACGAUGGGUGCUAAGUGUUAGGGGGGUUCCGCCCCUUAGUGCUGCAGCUAACGCAUUAAGCACUCCGCCUGGGGAGUACGACCGCAAGGUUGAAACUCAAAGGAAUUGACGGGGACCCGCACAAGCGGUGGAGCAUGUGGUUUAAUUCGAAGCAACGCGAAGAACCUUACCAAAUCUUGACAUCCUUUGACAACUCUAGAGAUAGAGCCUUCCCCUUCGGGGGACAAAGUGACAGGUGGUGCAUGGUUGUCGUCAGCUCGUGUCGUGAGAUGUUGGGUUAAGUCCCGCAACGAGCGCAACCCUUAAGCUUAGUUGCCAUCAUUAAGUUGGGCACUCUAAGUUGACUGCCGGUGACAAACCGGAGGAAGGUGGGGAUGACGUCAAAUCAUCAUGCCCCUUAUGAUUUGGGCUACGCACGUGCUACAAUGGACAAUACAAAGGGCAGCGAAACCGCGAGGUCAAGCAAAUCCCAUAAAGUUGUUCUCAGUUCGGAUUGUAGUCUGCAACUCGACUACAUGAAGCUGGAAUCGCUAGUAAUCGUAGAUCAGCGUGCUACGGUGAAUACGUUCCCGGGUCU